rnacentral:rRNA from 1 species
UCCCAGCGGUCCAAGUCGCAGCCACAAUUAUUGGGUCUAAAACAUCCGUAGCUUGCUUGGUAAGUUUCUUGUGAAAUCUCACAUCUUAAGUGUGAGGCGUGCAAGAAGUACUGCCUUGCUAGAGACUGGAAGACGUAGGAAGUAUGUUCUAAGUAGUGGUAAAAUAUUUUAAUCUAGGACAGACUAACAACAGCGAAGGCAUCCUACGAGGACAGUUCUGACAGUAAGGGAUGAAGGCUAGGGGCGCAAAAUG